rnacentral:lncRNA from 1 species
CUUUAACGUAUUCGCUUUUACAUUUAUCUUUAGUACAUUUCAGAAUAAUUUGUUUUUUGUUCUCUUAAAAUGUAACUGAUGCCUUUUCUUUCAUCGUAAAGUUUGUGGUUGUCUAGGGAAUUAUGAUGUUCCUGUGACCAACAGCUCUUUCCUCUACAUGGUACUGUAAUGGCGGUGUUUGUAUGUUGACAUCCUUGACUACAUUGUGAUCUCCUUGAAGGGGACCAUUAUCAUUGGAUUUAGGGCCCACCCAGAUAAUCUGUGAUGACCUCUUCAUCUCAAGAUCCUUAACUUAAUUCUAUCUCCAAAGGCCUUCUAUACUUAUGGCUUACACGGUAAGUACGUAUGAAAAUGUUUGAUGUUCCAUGGAUGUGGAAGAGAAAUGAAAUGGUCUCACUUUAGGAAAAU